rnacentral:rRNA from 1 species
AGAAUCAACGCUGGCGGCGUGCCUAACACAUGCAAGUCGAACGGGAAAGUGGAGCAAUCCAUGAGUAUAGUGGCGACCGGGUGAGUAACACGUGACUAACCUACCCUUGAGUGGGGGAUAACCUCGGGAAAACCGGGGCUAAUACCGCAUAAAAUCUUCGGGAUGAGAAGCUGGAGAUCAAAGGAGCAAUUCGCUUUUGGAGGGGGUCGCGGCUGAUUAGCUAGUUGGCGGGGUAACGGCCCACCAAGGCUUUGAUCGGUAUCCGGCCUGAGAGGGCGCACGGACACACUGGAACUGAAACACGGUCCAGACUCCUACGGGAGGCAGCAGUGGGGAAUUUUGCGCAAUGGGGGAAACCCUGACGCAGCAACGCCGCGUGGAGGAUGAAGUCCCUUGGGACGUAAACUCCUUUCGACCGGGAAGAUGAUGACGGUACCGGUGGAAGAAGCCCCGGCUAACUUCGCGCCAGCAGCCGC